rnacentral:rRNA from 1 species
GUAACGGCCCACCAAGGCGACGAUCGAUAGCUGGUCUGAGAGGAUGAUCAGCCACACUGGAACUGAGACACGGUCCAGACUCCUACGGGAGGCAGCAGUAGGGAAUAUUGGACAAUGGGCGCAAGCCUGAUCCAGCCAUGCCGCGUGAGUGAAGAAGGCCCUCGGGUUGUAAAGCUCUUUUGUUGGGGAAGAAAAGCAUCUGGUUAAUACCCGGGUGUUCUGACGGUACCCAAAGAAUAAGCACCGGCUAACUUCGUGCCAGCAGCCGCGGUAAU